AUUGAACGCUGGCGGCAGGCCUAACACAUGCAAGUCGAACGGUAACAGGAAGCAGCUUGCUGCUUCGCUGACGAGUGGCGGACGGGUGAGUAAUGUCUGGGAAACUGCCUGAUGGAGGGGGAUAACUACUGGAAACGGUAGCUAAUACCGCAUAACGUCGCAAGACCAAAGAGGGGGACCUUAGGGCCUCUUGCCAUCGGAUGUGCCCAGAUGGGAUUAGCUAGUAGGUGGGGUAACGGCUCACCUAGGCGACGAUCCCUAGCUGGUCUGAGAGGAUGACCAGCCACACUGGAAAUGAGACAAGGUCCAGACUCCUAAGGGAGGCAGCAGUGGGGAAUAUUGCACAAUGGGCGCAAGCCUGAUGCAGCCAUGCCGCGUGUAUGAAGAAGGCCUUCGGGUUGUAAAGUACUUUCAGCGGGGAGGAAGGGAGUAAAGUUAAUACCUUUGCUCAUUGACGUUACCCGCAGAAGAAGCACCGGCUAACUCCGUG
rnacentral:rRNA from 1 species